UACGUAGGGACCGAGCGUUGUCCGGAAUCAUUGGGCGUAAAGAGCGUGUAGGCGGCUAUUUAAGUCCUGCGUGAAAUCCUGCGGCUCAACCGCAGACGGUCGUGGGAAACUGGAUGGCUAGAGUGCGGGAGAGGAGAGUGGAAUUCCCGGUGUAGCGGUGAAAUGCGUAGAUAUCGUGAGGAACACCAGAGGCGAAGGCGGUUACCUGGACAGUUACUGACGCUCAGGCACGAAAGCAUGGGGAGCAAAAGGG
rnacentral:rRNA from 1 species